GCCUUCGUGGUGUAACGGUAGCACACUCGGCGUCUUAAUCGAGAGAUCUAGGUUCGAGUUCCGGCGAGGGCA
rnacentral:tRNA from 1 species